rnacentral:lncRNA from 1 species
AGCUCUACUGCUAUGGAAAUUCACUCCGAAAGGAUCCGACCGCUACUUUACCUAGCAGUUGGUCGCCUGGCAAUCCAUUUUUGUUCUUGAUUCGUGGUCAAAAUUACCUACAAGACAAGCAAAAGGUAUUAAUUCACUCACUUCAGUUCUGUUUUGUUUUCAAAAUGUAGACUUGGACUCAAAUGUGAGUGUGAGAUAUGAGUAUAUUCAAUUAUUCUCUAUGUUUUUUCAUGUAUUUUGAGGGUUCUUGGAAGGUCAUAUCCCCAUUCCUGUAUCCAAAAAUGAGUCAGCACAGACAUCAAACACAAAUACUUCAAGAAAAAUGAAUAGUCAAAGAAGCAUAGGAGAAGUUAUUUGUUAGGAGCUUGAAUCGACAUCAAACAGCUUCUUAAUCCAUAAAACUUCAUCUUUCCAAUCCCCAAAGUUUUGCUUGAAAAAGAAGAGCUUAUCCUUAAUACUGAAACUGAAUAUGUGUUUUAGGACUUGGGUUCUUCAUUUUCCCUAAAGAAUCCAUAUCCGACAUUUCUCUCUCCUACACGUAUGGACAUGAAUAUGGGGAAGCUCGUACUGACUGUACUCAUAUUUGACACUUACCUGAAUCUGUGUAACAUAGUAGGAAUUUUUUAAAUAUAUACAAUGAACUCUAAAGAUAUAAUUACUCCCUUUCCAAAUCUGCAUGUGUAAUUUUCCUUUUAAAUCUUUUAACUUCAAUGUGUUGAAUUUCUAAUGUUGUAGAUUAAGGCAAACGGAGCCUUGAUGCAAAUGGUAGGGGCAGACUGGUUAAUAUCCGAAAAACGAGAAGACAAUCUCGGCAGCCGACUAGGUGGUAUUGUGCAGGUUUGAGCUGUAACAAUAUGUGUUAAGUGUAGGGGUGCAAUCUAGUCGAGCCAAGCUCAAUUUGUAAGAAGCUUGAGCUUGACAUGAGUUCAAUUGACUUUUACUUUUAAAGUUUGAGCUCUAUUUGAGAUAAAGGUUGACUUUAAGUUCAAUUAUUUACGCUCAAGCUCAAGUCCUAAUUGAAAAUAUAAAGGCUGCUAGCUGCUCAAGUCAAGCAUUAGAAUACUCAAAUUCGGUUCAUUCGAUAGCUUGAUUUUGACUCUCUUUUUUCUCGAACCAAAUUCAAGUAGAUUGCUAGCAUAGAUAUCUGACUAGAAAAUUAACUUUGGUGGUAUAUUCAUUGCAGAACCAUGCAGCACAAGGUGGACCAGAAUUCUUCUUUAUUGUUAAUUUCCAGGUAUGUGUGAUUGUUAUAUAAACUGAACUGCCUUCACCGUUCCAUUAACAAUCAAUCACAUAAUAUUCUCCCACAAAUAUGAAUCAGAUUCCUGGAACGCCGAGGUAUACACUGGCAAUGUACUACAUGAUGAAAUCUCCUUUGGAAGAUCACCCUUCGCUUUAUAAAUUUGUAAAUGGAGAUGAUGCCUAUAGGAAUUCAAGAUUUAAGCUCAUACCACACGUUUCCGAGGUGAGACAUGCUUUAAUAUAUUACUCCAAUUCUUCAAUUCUUUUUAAAUUUUUCUUUGAAGUAUCCCUUGGGAUUUUGGAUUUAGCAUGUUUUAUAAUCUAUGUUUUGACGCACACAAUCUGUCUCUUCAGGGAUCAUGGAUAGCGAAACAAAGUGUUGGAAAGAGGGGUUCCUUAUUGGGCCAAACUCUUGAAGUUCAUUAUUUCAGAGGGAAAAAUUAUAUGGAGGUACACUGUUUUCUUGUUUUUGCUUGUUAAUACGCUAUUGCAAAUGCUUUUACUCAAUGCCAUUGGACUUCAACACGUAUUCAGACUACAUGUGUAUAGAGGUAUUAUCAUUUAAUAUAUUAAAAACUGAAAAAGAAAAUUCGAGCAUGCUUAUAUCAACUACAUACUCGUAUUCGACACUUCCCAAUCCGAGUACGAAAUCAACUCUCUUGUCCUACGUUACAGUCUAGGGUGAGAGUAUUGGACACAGGUAUAUUUGGAAGGUCGUUGGAGGAUCAUAUCUCCAUUCCAAUGUUUGGUCAGAUAUAAUUUUUUACUAAAAAAAAUGAAUAAUCGAAAUAACAUAGAAUAUGUCAAUCGUGUAGUUAACAAUCAAAUACAUUGAAAAUGUGCAGGUUGAUGUUGAUGUUGCAUCUUCAACAGUGGCACGGAGUGUAUGUAAUCUUGUUAUUGGAUAUUUUAGCAGUAUGGUCCUUGAAUUGGCAUUUGUUAUAGAGGUAAGACAUAUCUUCCUACAUGCAUGGACAGGGAUAGAAAAAAAAUUAAGUAAAACAUGAUAUUUAAACAUUACUAACAAGGGUUUGCAUUUUUAUUAUUAUAGAAGAUCCUUUCUAUCCAGUAUCACACUAUGACUUAUUUUUCAUUUUAUUGAUUCGUUUUUGCUAUCUACUUCUUCAGGGUAAUACACGGGAAGAGCUCCCUGAAACCCUUCUUGGAACAAGCAGACUCAAUCGUGUUGAUCUAUCCAAAGCAUUGGUAGCAUUGCCAUAGACUAAAAGGGUUUAUGAUCCGGUUCGAAUUUCAUAAAUUUUGAAAUGUUUUUAGUGAAAUUGGUUGGAAUUAAGGCCGAACCGGUUUUAAUAAUCCAUUUUACUACCCAUUACUAAUACAUAUAAAAGGGAAAGGCUAAAAAUAAUCAAAUCAUGUAAAAGGAAUUUCAAUAUUUCUUUACCAUUGAUUCAAUCAAGUUGAAAAUUGAAAAAAGGAAAAUGAGUAGACUUGGUUUUGAUUCUUUGGUGGGAUUAAUGUUAGACGUAACGUGUUCAUUUCCAUAAUGAUGAGCUUCUAUUGUAUGAUUGAAUAUAACUUUCUGUUUGAAUUUUCACCUUUUUUGUUGUUUCAAUUUUACCAAUAUUGAUUGAAUAUAAUAUAAUUAGUCAUAUAUACCUGUUUUUUUUUUUAAUUUGGAAAAGCCUUUUUUUAAAAAAAAUAGGGAAAUUUUUUUUUAAAAAGAAAAAGAUAUUAUUCAGAUGUAAAAAAUAUAAAAAAAAAUUAUUUAAAUAAAUCAAUACUAUAAUUGAAAGGUUUUUUUAAUAAACUUUGAUAGAAAUAAGUUUUGAUUUAAAAAAGCCAAGAGUGCUAUCCCUAGUAUCCUAGCAAAAAUAGUGACUGCUGCGGCUUGGGAUGACGGAAAGUGGUGCCAACGACGGGUUUAGGGGCGACGAGGUCUCCUUGCUAGCUGAGGAACUUAUACAACUAUCAGUUAAAAGUUCGGUGGUGGAACCAAACGAGAAACCAACUCUAAUCUGCACUAUUUGGACAGAGAAAUCUUAUAAUCAAGAUAGCUUCAAAGCGCAGAUGAAAAGUAUUUGGAAAACAAAGAAAAAGUUUGAGAUUCAAUCAGUAGGGCAAAACCUUUUUGUGAUUGUGUUUGAGUUAGAAGAAGAUUUAGAAACUAUUAUGGAAGGACAGCCAUGGUUGUUUAGGAAAAGUUUAGUUAUCUUUGAUCGAUUGACUAAACCAAUGGAAAGAGAUCAGAUUAGACUUGUUGCAUCCCUGUUUUGGAUCAAGAUUGAGCCGAGUUUACCAGAGUUUGAUAAAAAAAAGAUCUCUUGCAUGCCAUAGGGGUUACUUUUGGAGGUGUUUUCAGAUCUGAAGUUAAUGGUGAGUUUUGUCGCCUUAGAAUUAAAUUAAAUGUACAGAAACCCCUUCGUAGGGGUAUAUUUGUUUUAAGAAGCAAUGGGAAUAGAUAUUGGAUCCCUUUCAAGUACGAAAAAUUACCGAAAUUCUGUUUUGGCUGUGGAAAACUGGGGCAUGACCUUCAAGACUGCAUAGUAGUUAAACCUGUAGAAAAAGACAGAAUUAGAGAAGACCCACCUUUUUCUUUAGCACUAAAAGCAGAAUUAAAUUUAGUUGGAAGGGAGAGUCUGAAAUUUAAUGCUCUAGCAAAAAACAACAACCACAGAGUUCGUACACAAGAGGAAUUAAAGAGAACCAGGAGGCGUACUUAUAUAGUGGUAAAAGUAGCGGCCUGAUUCAAGAAGUGCAAGAAGAUUCGUGGGCGACAAUAACAGGAACGGAGACAAGGAUGAAGCAGGAAGGAGAACACAAUAGGAAUAAAUCAGAGAGAAGCAAAAUAGACGAAGAAUUAAUAAAGCUAGUCAGGAAAUCCAGCUGGAAAAGAGUGGAAUCAACGGGAGUGAUGAAAUAUCAUGGAGUAGAGAGUAAAUUACAGAAAAGGAAAUUGGCAGAUAUUGAUUAUGAUGAUUACAAUACAGAAGAGUCCCGGGAUGAUGCAGCAAAGAGGAGGAGAUAUGAUGGAAAGGAUUUAAUAAACGAGGUUGAAACAAAUUUGUCGGUAGACAACCCCACCCAAAAUAGAUCGACGGCAGCCAAAAGGCAAGCCGAUCGGAUGCAAUGAAAAUCAUAUGCUGGAAUGUUCGUGGAUUGGGG